UACGGGGGGGGCAAGCGUUGUUCGGAAUUACUGGGCGUAAAGAGCGUGUAGGCGGUCCGGUAAGUCCGCUGUGAAAGUCGGGGGGCUCAACCCUCGAAUGCCGGUGGAUACUGUCGGGCUAGAGUGCGGAAGAGGCGAGUGGAAUUCCUGGGUGUAGCGGUGGAAUGCGCAGAUAUCAGGAGGAACACCGAGUGGCGAAGGCAGGUCUCUGGGCCACUACUGA
rnacentral:rRNA from 1 species